CCUACGGGAGGCAGCAGUGGGGAAUAUUGCACAAUGGGGGAAACCCUGAUGCAGCGACGCCGCGUGAGUGAAGAAGUAUUUCGGUACGUAAAGCUCUAUCAGCAGGGAAGAAAAUGACGGUACCUGACUAAGAAGCCCCGGCUAACUACGUGCCAGCAGCCGCGGUAAUACGUAGGGGGCAAGCGUUAUCCGGAUUUACUGGGUGUAAAGGGAGCGUAGACGGCCGCGCAAGUCUGGAGUGAAAUCCCAUGGCUUAACCAUGGAACUGCUUUGGAAACUGUGCAGCUAGAGUGCAGGAGAGGUAAGCGGAAUUCCUAGUGUAGCGGUGAAAUGCGUAGAUAUUAGGAGGAACACCAGUGGCGAAGGCGGCUUACUGGACUGUAACUGACGUUGAGGCUCGAAAGCGUGGGGAGCAAACAGGAUUAGAUACCCCUGUAGUC
rnacentral:rRNA from 1 species